AUAGUGGACUACUACGAGGUGCUGGGAGUACCCCGGUAGGCCUCGUCCGAGGGUAUCAAGAAGGCGUACCGCAAGCUGGCGCUCAAGUGGCACCCCGACAAAAACCCCGAGGACAGGGAGGAAGCGGUGAGAAGAUUCAAGCAGGUGGCUGAGGCCUACGAGGUGUUGUCGGACGCGUAGAAACGCGAUAUCUAUGACCGCUAUGGCGAGGCGAGGGCGGAGGGCGGCUGCGCAGGCGGCAGGCCCUUCAAGGACCCCUUCGAGAUUUCGUUCCUUUGGCUCCCUGGGAAGUGGGGGCCUUUCUUCCUUCUGCAUGUCCUACGGUAGUGAUGGGACAGGCAGCUUCAAGUCCAUGUCGACUUCCACUGAAAUAGUUGAUGGUAAAAAAAUCACCACCAAGAGAAUCAUUGAGAAUGGCCAAGAAAGGGUGGAAGUGGAGGAAGAUGGAGAGUUGAGUUAAAGUCCUUCAUAAUAAACGGCAUAGAGCAGUUGCUCCCCAUUGACACCAAGUAAUUCCAGUCCACAUUUGCCUUUAAGCACAUCUGGAGGAAUAGCGGACUUUUUUUAGGAUUGAAAGUGAACUUUACUUUCAGAACAGCUGUACCCAAGAAUUUAUAAACACUUUAUGCCAA
ensembl:lncRNA novel transcript